rnacentral:lncRNA from 1 species
GGUCACGCUGAGGACGUUAACGCAACAACUAUCAUCUGGAUUCUGUAAUAAUGCUUUAUUAUGUGUUUCGUCAAUAUAAGACCUCAAUUAAGCAUAUGUAGCAGGGAAGUUAUGUAUUUUUGUUUUCGUUUCCUUGUAUAUAUGUUGUGUAAUUUUUUUUUAUGUGUGUAAGGGGUUUUAUGGGAACACCUCCUGUAGGCAUGAUAUUGCAUCAGCCCGAUUCUCCGGCCAGACGAGAAGGGUCUGGCUGCAACCACUGUGGAGCUCCACACCCUACUGUCAGGGCAAAGAUUGAGGAACAUGAUGAACAUAAAUGGACACAUUAAAAUGCUUUGCCUUUCAAAGAUCAGCAAACGAAAGGAGACUUAAAAAUUCCUUCUUCACGGGGUCUCCGAUUCCAAUCAUCUCUGUUCUCCGUUGUUGUCCCUGGCUGGUGGAACAACCUGCCCUCCUCCACACGACUAGCCGAGACUAUCACCACUUUUAA